UAACAACACAGACCUUUGCGAAACUGAACAACGUGUAACACGACGAGGGGGAAUUGUAGAUUUAAUUUUGAGCUUGCAUGAAAUGAGCACAUGUCGUUUGCCAAAGUUGGAAACUACAGCUCCCAAUAUGAUAUGGUUUCUGGAUCACGUGAUUGACCAGCUGAGAAAUAUAUGCGUGAUGUAAACAAACAUACUAAACUCAUGAUUUUAGUCUACUGCAAUGAAUAUAUGUCAAUGGGUUGGCUUUAUUCAAUACGCCCAACUUUAUGUAAGGUUUGUAUAAUAAUACACACAAGGCUUAGAAUGAAGAGAAAUUAAGCAAGGAGGUUGAUCCUUCCGAUCUAGUACAUCUACUUCAACUGUCGCGUCAAAACCGUUGCAAAGGAGGGUAGCUACGGUAACCAACAUCCUGAAUCCAUGACAGGUAUGUCCUCACCAACCAACUAUCAAGGUAGACUUUUGCCAAUGCCUACCAAUGUCGGUUCCCCAACAGCAGGAACAAAGCAGAGUCCUGUGUGUAAACCCUGGGAAUCCUGUUUUCUCAUGUAUGAUGACCCCAGUGGUUAAAGACAAUUCUCCUGUGCCAUGGGCAAAGCCUCCAAGCCCCUUCUACAAGACCACCUCAAGUGACUAUGGUGUUAGUCCUCCAACAUUUGAAUCAUCACCCUGUACCUACCACCCACUUUCAAAGAAUCACAGAAGACCUUGGGAACUGUGGGAUGUUACGUGACAAUGCCUUCAAUACAAGUCUUGAUCGAAGCAGGGUAUAUGACUGCCCUAAUUUGCAAAACACUAUCUGAUUUGAUUGACAUGGUAUACCAUUGUCUUAGUGUUGAUUAAACUACCUGGUGGACCUUCAUUGACAAUGAUUGGUGUCCUGAAAACACAUAAAAGCUGUACAUUUAAGUUCUACAAUAUGCAUGUUGUAUCAUUCUACAUACAAAGUAAAGCAUAUUUUUACUUGCACUUAUGUUAUGUGACAUUAUACAGAAACACUAAUAGCAGGAGCAAGUUACAAUGUUUGACUUAAUUUUUUUAUUGUAUCACUAUAAACACAUUGAACAGGUGGGCUAUCAGCAUUAAUUUUAAAGUGUUCCUCAUUGCAAAAAAAUAUACAAAUGUAUUAAACAUGUAUUUAUUCAUUCGG